CACUGGGCGCUAGCCUGAUGCAGCGACGCCGCGUGCGGGAGGACGGCCUUCGGGGUGUAAACCUCUGUGAGUGGGUAGGAUGCGCAAGUGACAGGCCCUGCAGAAGAAGUAGAGGAAAACUACGUGCCAGCAGCCGCGGUAAUACGUAGGGUGCGAGCGUUGUCCGGAAUUACUGGGCGUAAAGAGCUCGUAGGCGGUUUGUCGCGUCGUCUGUGAAAACCCGCAGCUCAACUGCGGGCUUGCAGGCGAUACGGGCAGACUCGAGUACUGCAGGGGAGACUGGAAUUCCUGGUGUAGCGGUGAAAUGCGCAGAUAUCAGGAGGAACACCGGUGGCGAAGGCGGGUCUCUGGGCAGUAACUGACGCUGAGGAGCGAAAGCGUGGGUAGCGAACAGGAUUAGAUACCCUGGUAGUCCACGCCUUAAACGGUGGGUGCUAGGUGUGGGUUUCCUUCCACGGGAUCCUUGCCGUAACCAACGCAUUAAGCGCCCCGCCUGGGGAGUACGGCCGCAAGGCUAAAACUCAAAGGAAUUGACGGGG
rnacentral:rRNA from 1 species